rnacentral:SRP_RNA from 1 species
GCCGAGCUCAGUUACGAGAGCUUGUAACCCGAGUGGGGGCAUUAAAGUGAUGUGAACGCUGUUGUAGCGCUGCGGGCCUGGUCUGGGUGUGCUACUGCUGGCCCGCCCGUUCCAAGUUGCGUAGUGGACCGCCUGGGGCUUAUGCGAAAGCUGGGUCUCACGGUCCAUAAUGUGGCAGGCACAGCGUGAGGCUGGCUUCACAGAGCAGCGACAACUGCCCGCUUCCAACGGUGGAAGGAUAAUGGGCCGCUGCACUCCUAGGCCAAUUGGGCCUCGCAGCCUACUCCAACGGACCAUCACUUUU